GUAUGUUGUUGAAGAAGGGGCGCUGGUGGUGGUUGUUGUGCAGGUCCAGGGGGCCUGCACUUGCACAACAACCACCACCAGCGCCCCUUCUUCAACA
rnacentral:pre_miRNA from 1 species